UCUCCGUUCAAAAAUGCAAGAAUGAAAAAUCUCUGACCAGGCUUACUGGGACGAGCAGAAUAACUUCAGAAAUUUGAGACUUUUUCUACGGGGGGCGUAUGAUCUAAAAGUAUGGAUUAGCAAGGUGGAUAGCGUAUGACGUAUUGAUUAUAACUAACUGAAAAUCACUUCGAGUAACUUGAACUGUGACGUACUCCUCGUUAUUAAUUUCACGGGUUGAAACACUCAAUCGCGACAAAAAUUAUAUUCAUCUAUAAUCUCUGUUACAUCACUAGAUUGAAUCAUGUGAUGUGAGUAGGUAACAGCUUGUGGUGGGCUGCAUGCAGUUCGAGCUUGUUCUUUAAACUCCUAUAGUGAUACAUUUCAGUAGCGCUAAGUUUCAAGAGAGAGAAUAUUUUAAUUUAUUGUUCAAAAAGUACUCGUCGCGAAUUAACCUACAACUGUGUUCAUCCUCUGAAGCUCUGUCUACGCGCGGAUUUUCAUGACAGCAAUGAUACAGACGAGGCUUCUCGGCAACUGGUGUUACCUAUUUUUAUGCUGGGUGCUGUUGAUUUUUCAUGGAAUUCGAUCAUAUUCUUGCCGCACGACCACUCAGCACCCAGACGCGAGAGAAGAGCUUCAUAGAGGGGCGGGAUCAGGCCAUCCGCUGACGAACAAAACGCUGAAGGAAGAGUUUUUGGAGACUCAAAAGUUGGAUAGCAAGACGAUGAGACCGGAAAAAAGUCCCGAAAACAGGAAUACAGGAUCGACAGAGAGGUUCAUUAACCAUUUCCUACAAAUCGUCAACCAAGACCACUUCAUCGACAAAAGUCUCCUCAUUGAGGCUCUAUUCGACAAUAGCUCGGCGCUCGAGCCGAUUUUAAUAACCGCCCCACCGGGAUUCGGCAAAUCUGUGAACCUCGCGAUGAUCUACAGCUUUUUCAACAUCCCCGUAUCCGCCAGCGGGAUCAAAAAACCACCGUCCGAAUCGCCUACAGCCCGAAAAUUCAUCGAUAGAAAACUGAAAAUCACAGGCUGGGCCUCCUUCUCUGCCCUCUUCGGCUCCCGCGGGGUUCUCUACUUGGACUUCGAGAAACUGAGCUCGUUCUACAGCCUCCUCGAAUUCAGAUCACGUUUCUACAGCGUCCUCCGUUCUUCUAUCGACAUGCACCCGUUUCUACGGCUUCUGAAGGACACAACGACGAAAAACUUCGUAAAAAGAUGCUACGAUGCGCCAAUCGAGCGGCACAAGAAACAAUCCGGUCUGAUCGUGUGUCUGGAUAAGUUUGCAAGAAUACUCAACAAGUUUUUCGGAAAUCCGGUUCUAGUUUUAAUAGACGGGGCGACGACUCCGCAUCAGUGGAUUCUGUCCCAGCAGGCCAGCAGGGGUGGACCGUGGUUGACAAACGCGGUUAUCCACGAAAUUCUAGAUUUUACUGAAUCGGCGAAAGCGAAGCUAAUAAAAGGGAAUUGGUUUGUGUGGAAAAGCGUCCUCACCGGGGUCAUGAGCUUCGGCGAAGAGGACAACCUCUACGCGAAUAAUCUGCAAUACAGGCCAGCUUUGAGGGAUGAAUUUUUGAAACCGUUCUAUGGUUUUUUGGGUGAGGAGGUGGACCAGCUGAUCGCCUUACAGCCGCCAACAUCCAGGAAUAACCUAAAGAAAAACAUAGAACACUACUUCAACGGCUACCGAUACUUCCAUUAUCACCAGGAUCUGUCGGAAGACUCGCUAUACUGUCCACAUCAUAUAAUUCAUUACCUGAUCGAAGGGAAACACAACGAUGGCAACUUAUCGAAAGCCGAGUUGAGUUCGUACUGGUCGCCGCGGCCCUUGAACGACUUCAAGUAUCUCCUCAGCCCGGCCCGUUUCGGCAAGAAGUUCAUGGACUCGUUGGACUCGGCAAAGGGUGUCAAAAUUUUCGGGACCAGUAAGCUAGACAGCGUAGCGUUGAUCGCUCUAGUGGAGGCAGAGCGUGGGAUCGGCAACCCUGCCGAACAUAUCGAGGACGUCGUGUUCUAUUACCUGAUGGAGCAGGGUUUCUACAUCCUCAAGGAGGAGCAGGGUGACUCUUCUUGGUUGCUCAGCGUGCCCAAUAAAGCUGUCGAGUUCGCGAUGCGGGUUUUCGCGGAACGGGUCGUGAACCCGUUCCUGAUUGGUCCGAGCUGAUGAGUUAUUUCGGUGUGACGUAGUCAAAAGCUCUUGAUACGCGAUCAAACCCAGCAAUUGAUAUAUCAAGAUCAAGUGCUGUGAUUGGUCCAAGAUAUCGAAUGAGUCAAUCACAACACCUGACCAUAAUAUUGUGAUAGCUAGGUUUGAUCAUGUAGCAAGAGCUAUACUGAACAUUUGAUCAGCGGGAGACGUGGAUGCUCCCAUUGAUGAGAAUCAGGAUAACGUCUGCCCGAGCAGGGUCGCAAAAGUCCCGUUUCUCACGGUCAGGCAUUGAUGCCUCACGGGACAGAAUAGAUCUGAUUGGUUCGACAUUUUUGGACGAUUUUUGUCCCCAGAGGUCUGUGGAGAUAUUCUGUAUGAUCUAGUUUCGAGAGUCUUUCAAUUUUUGUGAGCUAAUAAGGUGUUCCUCUCCGUGGAGGACCACAUCCAUUGGAUAAACACCCGGUUUCAAAGUAUACUGUAUCAGGUGAUCAGGUGUAUCAGGGUGUAUCGGGUGAUAAACUACCUACGUCACGAAAAAGCAGACGUGGUAAGCGAAGUUCACCGACAAUGCGAGCGAUCAACUCGACACUGCAGUCUCAGAGUGUAUUUCCUGACACGCUAGCGAAAAUCGCCUUAAAAAUUUUGAAUAUGCAAACUUUACUACAACCGUGAUCGAAUAGUUGUCGCCAGUAGAAUAUUUUGGGAAACGACUUGUAUGUAUAUGGCUGUUGAGAACGCGAUUACGGCAGUGGACACCACAUGCGAGGGAGAAGUUUUUCAUGUUAUACGAAUUCUCAAAGGAGAGAGAGUUGGUUUCAAGGAAAAUCGUUUGUGUGAUUUAUGGUUAUCAGCUGGAAUUGUAAUGUAUAGUUGGGUCCAGUUUUAUUCAGUAUUACCCAAAAGUAUUAUCUUGAACGUAAUAAUUCUUUUCCUUCUUCUAUUUUUUAAUUUUUUAAGCUCUCUUUCUUUCCUGUUUACUAUUGUGUUAUUCUUUGAAGUAGCCAAAUAUAUUGCGUAUAUGUAAAGUCUGCAGAAAAAGGGACUAGGUAAGUGGCAAUUUUUUGAGAAGAGCAAUGACCUGAGUGAUCGUUAAACGCUCCUGCAAGCAAUAACAUCAGUAUCUGAAUUUUGAAUAUUUCUACCCUAUGAGCUCCCUUUUUCUGAGGACAGUCGCACACUUUGAACAAAUGAACAAUUUGUAACGAUUUUGUAAAAUUGUAGUUUGUAUAUUUUGACAAUUCCAUUUCAGUGUGCUGCUCCCAUUUAUAGCAUCCGGUGUGCCGCUUCAUCACAAAAAAAAGAUCUACCCUCUGAGCGAGUCGCAUACUUACGAUACUUCAAUGAAUUCUAGAAAUAAUUCAAAUUCAUUUUGGGAUGCCUUCUAUAUGUUUGAGAUUUUGAAAAAAAUCUGGUAAUGUCAGGGUAAACCAUUUCGAUCGAUGAAAAGAGCAAUCUAGUGAUUAGUGUCAAAAAUUUUUCCGGACGGCGGAAGAAAUUGAGCCCCCCCCCCCCCCCCACCGUCCAAAUCUCAAAUUAUCAAUAUUUGACAAUACCACUGAGGUGCAAUAGCUUUAAAAGCUACUUAAUAUAAUGUAAGUCUACUUUGGUAAGCACGAGUUUCGGUCAUUUGCAGAAAAAUCUUAUCAUUAAAAUAAAUACGAUUUCCUUAAACGUGCACGAUGUUUUUAUUUUCCUCUUUUUGACAGUUUUUCCGCCGAGCUCUGUGAGUACGUUGCCGAUGAUUUUCGGUGGCGCUACCGCCAACUAAUCGCAACGCACGCAUGAACGCUCUCGACCUACAAUUUCCAAAACUUUACCGCUUUGUCGUUUCAAUGGUUCUCAAAAAUUUACGCAUAAUGUUAAACAUACAAAAAAAAGAGAUAAAUUCCACACGCAAAUAUUCAAUAAUAAAGGUUUCUGGCAUGGCAAAUCGAUGGUGAAACUGCAGAAAUGCGUAUAUCGGUUGCGGCGUUGCAGACUUCCUGUCAUACUUUAUUCUUCAUAUGGGAAACCACUUAACGUCAUUUAUUGAGCACUACGGAUAUUCGUCUUCUCUAUGGGAUGAAUAUUCUGUGAAAAUUUCAAGCCACGAUGUUGGUUUGGUUUCCUUUUAAAAAAUAAAAUAGGAGCGGAGAUUUUCAAACACCGCAACCGAUAUACGCAUUUUUGCAGUUUCACCAUUGAAAUGUUCUGUUUGCGCCUUCUUUCAAACGCCGCACAGUGGAUCGAGUCAACUAGAGAGGUCGGGCAUGAAAUUUUUGACUAAAACAGCAAAUUUUGGUAUUUAUUUCUUCACAUUUUACAUUUCAAGGGGUGCUUAAGGUAGAAUAUUUCACGAGGAAACCAAUGAAACCACUUUUAGAACCUCAAAGUUUUAUUCAAAAGGAGUUAUAAGCGUUUAAAGUUUCCAAAUUUUGUCCGACCUCUCCUAUUGACUCGAUCCGUUGUGCGCCGGGGGAAAAAUAACUAAACUGGAACUGGGACUGGAACUAACUAAAAACUACAUUGGACACACACAUCAGUGCGUUAUUUUUUCUCUCUAUGAAGAGAAGAAAUACUUUUUAGUUCGAUUUUCUCGAGAGGAGAAAAAAUUCAACAAAAAAUCCUUUGGGCUAGCACGGUAAAAAUUAGCUCUCUUCAGAAUUUUAACAAUAAUCUUUUUGGGAUAGAAAAUUUAAAUCUUAUGCAUCAACUGAAUUUCAGACAAAAUGGCUUGAUUGAAAAAUUUCUGUUUUUUUCUAUUGGAUGAAAAAAGCAUGGCAGCUUUCGAAAGUUAGCACACUUCAUCUCCAAAGCUUAUCAAUAAAUGAUCUGGGGCAAAAGAUAACGCAGAAAAAAAGAACAACAGAUGAGGUCAACGUCUUACAAUUUACUGUUAUGAUUCUUUAUUGCUUGAGAUAAGCACCCGCAAAAUUUCACAUUAAACCAUGAAUCUGUCCAGUCCAUAAAAUAAAGCAAAAAGGGAAAGCAUGACACUUUUAAAGCAUGUAUACUCAUCACAUGCUGGAAAAUUUGGCUGUUAUAUUGCCGCCAGGCAAGAUUUUCGCGCGGAAUAUUUUGGGUACUGCUGUUUCCAAAAUGUGCUAUCGAAACUAAUUCAAGGUCUAGAUUUAUGAACCCCUUCUUCUCUAUGGUGAAAUCUAUUAGUUAGUUCUUAGCCAGCAAUACCGUCUAAAGCCAAACAUCUUUCUGUGGCGGAAGUUUCGAAAGAAGGCAGUGCGAUUAUUUCGUUUAUCUUUUUGAUUAUAUUAUUUGUAUACCUGUUUUCCCACUGAAAACAUCUUAGUAAGAAGUAAAAUCCACCAGGACGAAGGUACAGGUAAAGACGUCUUGCAUUUGGUAAAAUUUUCUAUAGCAAAUUUGUAUUUGAAGGAGGGUGGGGGAAAUACAGUGAAAUCUAAACAUUUUUCCUGUUGAAACAACGAUAAUGUUUCACUGUCAAACUGUUAAAUUCACUCGAAUAAUCAAUUCUUGGACUUACGGAGUAUUUUCAAUACCAAAAAUUGCAGAAUCAACCCCUUUAUGCAUAAGGAGAGCAAUCUCAUUCGGGAGCGUUCAUAAAUUACGUAAUGCAUUUAUACGGCAUUUUGGACCCCCUCCCUCCUCCAUCGUAACGCUUUUGUGACUAGGGUUCCUAUCCUCUAACACGUAGAAACAAAACUGAACAACGCUUUCCGUGACCCCCCUCCCCUCCGGCCACUCCCACAACAGCGUUACGCAAUGGAUCGUAUUAUUCGAUAGUGGUUCAACGUAUGGUUUGGUUCAAAGCAAUAGAACAUAACUUCAAACAAAAAUGUUAGGAUAUAAGUUAGAAAAGCUGAAAAAAAGAAAAUUCCUAGUAUUUUCACUUUCCAUUGCCAUGUGCCUCAUUAGAGUUCCUUUAUACUAAGAAUAAAGACAAGGGAGAUCCAUUUCUGAUUGGUUCCCGUAUUUUAGGCCUUCAUAGUGUCACAAACGGGAAUAAAGAUUAUUUUCACCAAUUGCAAAGAUUAUAAACUGGAAUGGACCGGGGAAUAUGGGGUACGGCACGGAACAAAUGGAAUAAGAGAGGAAACGGAGACAGGAAUUUGGAAAUGGGUUGAUCAAAGAUUACAAAAAAACGUCCGAUUUCUAUAAUCUUUAUUUCCGUUGGUGACAUCCAUGAAGCGUCCAGCCCACCUACAAGCUAGAGGCUUCAAAGAGGUCCAUCGAUGCCUUUCCUGGCCCUCUCAUUGGCCAGCGGUUUAAGUCGGGGCAAUCGAUGAG
rnacentral:lncRNA from 1 species